GUGACCUCAAAUCAGGUAGGACUACCCGCUGAACUUAAGCAUAUCAUAGCGGAGGAAAGAACUACAGGAUCCC
rnacentral:rRNA from 1 species